rnacentral:sRNA from 1 species
CAAGAAUGUGGCGCUCCAUGGUUGGUGAGCAUGCUCGGUCCGUCCGAGAAGCCUUAAAACUAUGACGACACAUUCACCUUGAACCAAGGGUUCAAGGGUUACAGCCUGCGGCGGCAUCUCGGAGAUUCC